rnacentral:rRNA from 1 species
AUAGCGUAUAUUAAAAUUGUUGCGUCUAAAAAGCUCGUAGUUUGAAAACUUGCCUUGGCUUACAACUGGUUCUCAUGAGCCGCCGUUUGUUGAGCGCAAAUAUGGAUGACUGUUUUUGCCGACUUAACUGUUUGGCUUAUAAGAGUUAUCAAAUAUCACUUUGAUUAAAUUAGAGUGCUUAAAGCAAGUGUUUUACUUGGAUAUAAAUGCAUGGAAUGAUGGAAUAUGUUGUUGUUCUAUUUGUUGGUUUUUGAACGAUGAAAUGAUUGAAAGGAACUGUUGGGGGCAUUCGUAUUGUUGUGAGAGAGGUGAAAUUCUUAGACCACAGCAAGACGAACUACUG